rnacentral:rRNA from 1 species
GAGAAAGGGAGCAAUCCUGAGUAAAGUGGCGUACGGGUGAGUAACACGUGGAUCAUCUACCUUCUAGUGGGGAAUACCUCCGGGAAAUUGGAGACAAUACCGCAUAAGCUCGUAAGAGGAAAGCAGCAAUGCGCUGGAAGAGGAGUCCGCGGCUGAUUAGCUAGUUGGUGAGGUAACGGCCCACCAAGGCGAAGAUCGGUAGCCGGCCUGAGAGGGCACACGGCCACACUGGCACUGAAACACGGGCCAGACUCCUACGGGAGGCAGCAGUGGGGAAUCUUGCACAAUGGAGGAAACUCUGAUGCAGCGACGCCGCGUGAGUGAUGAAGCCCUUCGGGGUGUAAAGCUCUUUCGACAGGAACGAUAAUGACGGUACCUGAAGAAGAAGCUGCGGCUAACUACGUGCCAGCAGCCGCGGUAAUACGUAGGCAGCAAGCGUUGUUCGGAAUUACUGGGCGUAAAGAGUGUGUAGGCGGUGCUCUAAGUCUGUUGUGAAAUCUCCCGGCUCAACUGGGAGGGUGCGGCGGAAACUAGAGUGCUAGAGGGUGGGAGAGGUAAGCGGAAUUCCUGGUGUAGCGGUGAAAUGCGUAGAUAUCA